UACGUAGGGUGCAAGCGUUGUCCGGAUUUAUUGGGCGUAAAGAGCGUGUAGGCGGCCUUACAGGUCAGCUGUGAAAACUCGAGGCUCAACCUCGAGACGUCGGUUGAAACCGUAUGGCUAGAGUCCGGAAGAGGAGAGUGGAAUUCCCGGUGUAGCGGUGAAAUGCGCAGAUAUCGGGAAAGAACGACCCGUGGCGAAGGCGGCUCUCUGGGACGGUACUGACGCUGAGACGCGAAAGCGUGGGGAGCGAACAGG
rnacentral:rRNA from 1 species